GGCUAACGCUGGCGGCGCGCCUAACACAUGCAAGUCGAACGAACCCUUCGGGGUUAGUGGCGGACGGGUGAGUAACGCGUGGAUAAUGUGACUUUUUGCUGGGGAUACUGUUCCGAAAGGAACGUUAAUACCGAAUGUGCUCGUAUGGCGGCAUCGCCGAGCGAGUAAACUGUUAGGGUGAAGGGUGCAGUCCGCGUUCUAUCAGCUAGUUGGUGAGGUAACGGCCCACCAAGGCUACGACGGAUAACUGGUCUGAGAGGAUGGUCAGUCAGGCUGGGACUGAGGCACGGUCCAGACACCGGCGGGAGGCGGCAGGGAGGUAGCAUGCACAGUGGGCGAAAGACUGAGGCAGCGACGGCGCGUGAGGAACGAAGGCCGUCGGGUUGUAGACCUCUGUCAGGAGGGAAGGAGAAUGACGGUACCUGCUGAAGAAGCUCCGGCUAACUACGUG
rnacentral:rRNA from 1 species